rnacentral:rRNA from 1 species
UACGUAGGGUGCAAGCGUUGUCCGGAAUUAUUGGGCGUAAAGAGCUCGUAGGCGGUUUGUCGCGUCUGCUGUGAAAACCCGAGGCUCAACCUCGGGCCUGCAGUGGGUACGGGCAGACUAGAGUGCGGUAGGGGAGAUUGGAAUUCCUGGUGUAGCGGUGGAAUGCGCAGAUAUCAGGAGGAACACCGGAUGGCGAAGGCAGAUCUCUGGGCCGUAACUGACGCUGAGGAGCGAAAGCGUGGGGAGCGAACAGG